rnacentral:rRNA from 1 species
AGAGAGAGCCUUGCGUUCCAUCUAGCUAGUCGGUGGGGUAUAUGGCCCUCCAAGGCGACGAUGGAUAGCCGGCGUGAGAGGGCGAACGCCCACAUGGGGAGUGAGACACCGCCCUUACUCAUACGGGAGGCAGCAGUGCGGAAUAUUGGACAAUGGGCCACAAGCCUGAUCCAGCAAUUUUGUGUGCACUGAUGAAGGUCUUCGGAUUGUAAAGUGCUUUCAGUGGGGAAGAAGAAAGUGACGGUACCAACAGAAGAAGCGACGGCUUAAUACGCGCCAGCAGCCGCGGUAAUACGUAUGUCGCAAGCGUUAUCCGGAUUUAUUGGGCGUAAAGCGCGUGUAGGCGGAAAAAUUAGUGGGAUGUUUAACUGCGGGGCUCAACUCCGUAUCGCGUUGGAAACUGUCUUUCUAGAGUACUGGAGAGGUGGGCGGAUUCUACAAGUGUAGAGGUGAAAUUGUGUAGAUAUGGAGAGGAAUCCCGAUGGAGAAGUCAGCUCACUGGACAGAUACUGCCGGUGAAGCGCGAAAGCGUGGGGAGCAAACAGGAUUAGAUACCUUGGUAGUCCACGCGGUAAACGAUGAUCACUAGGUGUUGCGGGUCGAUCUUCAGCGCUCAAGCUAACGCGAUAAGUGAUCUGCUUGGGGAGUACGCACGCAAGUGUGAAACUCAAAGGAAUUGACGGGGACCCGCACAAGCGGUGGAGCAUGUGGUUUAAUUCGAUGCAACGCGAGAAACCUUACCAGCGUUUGACAUCGUAAGAAAUUUCCAGAGAUGGAUUGGUGCCGUCUUGCCGGAACUUAGUGACAGGUGGUGCAUGUCUUGUCGUUAGCUAGUGUCGUGAGAUGUUGGGUUAAGUCCCGCAACGAGCGCAACCCCUAUUGUAUGUUUCUACCAUUAAGUUGAUGCAUCUCAUGCGAUACGUCCUGCGAUGAGUAGGAGGAAGGUGGGGAUUACGUCAAGUCAUCUUGUCCUUUAUGCGCUGGGAUCCAUAGGUGCUACAAUGGGCAGUACAGUGAGUUGCCAACCCGUGAGGGUGAGAUUAUUUUUCAAACAUGUUCUUAGUUGGGAUGGUUAUCUUCUACUAGAGUACAUGAAGUUGGAAU